rnacentral:rRNA from 1 species
GAGUUUGAUCCUGGCUCAGGAUGAACGCUGGCGGCGUGCUUAACACAUGCAAGUCGAACGAAGCACUCGAAUGGAAUUCUUCGGAAGGAAGCUCAAGCGACUGAGUGGCGGACGGGUGAGUAACGCGUGGGUAACCUGCCUCAUACAGGGGGAUAACAGUUAGAAAUGACUGCUAAUACCGCAUAAGCACACGUGAUCGCAUGAUCGAGUGUGAAAACUCCGGUGGUAUGAGAUGGACCCGCGUCUGAUUAGCUGGUGUGGGUAACGCCACAAGCGACGAUCAGUAGCCGGCCUGAGAGGGUGAACGGCCACAUUGGGACUGAGACACGGCCCAAACUCCUACGGGAGCAGCAGU